rnacentral:rRNA from 1 species
AGAACGAACGCUGGCGGCGUGGAUAAGACAUGCAAGUCGAACGGGAUUAUUUUGUAGCAAUACAGAAAUAAUUCAGUGGCGAACGGGUGCGUAACACGUGGGCAAUCUGCCGAAAAGUGGGGGAUAGCUCGCCGAAAGGCGAAUUAAUACCGCAUGUGGUGAGGGACGACAUCUUCCUGAAUCCAAAGCCGGGGCAACCUGGCGCUUUUUGAGGAGCCCGCGGCCUAUCAGCUAGUUGGUGAGGUAACGGCUCACCAAGGCUUUGACGGGUAGCUGGUCUGAGAGGACGACCAGUCACACUGGAACUGAGACACGGUCCAGACACCUACGGGUGGCAGCAGUCGAGAAUUUUUCUCAAUGGGGGAAACCCUGAAGGAGCGACGCCGCGUGGAGGAUGAAGGCUUUCGGGUGUAAACUCCUGUCAUUUGAGAACAAGGUGCGAGUAUAACUGUACUGCAUUGAUAGUAUCAGAAGAGGAAGGACGGCUAAACUCUGUGCCAGCAA